rnacentral:rRNA from 1 species
CCUACGGGUGGCAGCAGUGGGGAAUAUUGGACAAUGGGGGAAACCCUGAUCCAGCGACGCCGCGUGAGUGAAGAAGUAAUUCGUUAUGUAAAGCUCUAUCAGCAGGGAAGAAAGAAAUGACGGUACCUGAAGAAGCAGCGCCGACUAACUACGUGCCAGCAGCCGCGGUAAUACGGAGGGGGCAAGCGUUAUCCGGAUUUACUGGGUGUAAAGGGGGCGUAGACGGUGCGCCAAGUCUGAAGUGAAAGGCGGCGGCUCAACUGCAGGACUGCUUUGGAAACUGGAGAGCUGGAGUGCAGGAGAGGUAAGCGGAAUUCCUAGUGUAGCGGUGAAAUGCGUAGAUAUUAGGAGGAACACCAGUGGCGAAGGCGGCUUACUGGACCGUAACUGACGUUGAGGCUCGAAAGCGUGGGGAGCAAACAGGAUUAGAUACCCUAGUAGUC